CCAGACUCCUACGGGAGGCAGCAGUGGGGAAUAUUGCACAAUGGGGGAAACCCUGAUGCAGCGACGCCGCGUGAGCGAUGAAGUAUUUCGGUAUGUAAAGCUCUAUCAGCAGGGAAGAAGAUGACGGUACCUGACUAAGAAGCCCCGGCUAACUACGUGCCAGCAGCCGCGGUAAUACGUAGGGGGCAAGCGUUAUCCGGAUUUACUGGGUGUAAAGGGAGCGUAGACGGCGAUGCAAGCCAGAUGUGAAAGCCCGUGGCUCAGCCCCGGGACUGCAUUUGGAACUGCGUGGCUGGAGUGCAGGAGGGGCAGGCGGAAUUCCUGGUGUAGCGGUGAAAUGCGUAGAUAUCAGGAGGAACACCGGUGGCGAAGGCGGCCUGCUGGACGGCAACUGACGUUGAGGCCCGAAAGCGUGGGGAGCAAACAGGAUUAGAUACCCGAGUAUAA
rnacentral:rRNA from 1 species